rnacentral:rRNA from 1 species
UACGUAGGGGGCUAGCGUUGUCCGGAAUCAUUGGGCGUAAAGAGCGCGUAGGCGGCCCGAUAAGUCCGCUGUGAAAGUCAAGGGCUCAACCCUUGAAUGCCGGUGGAUACUGUCGGGCUAGAGUCCGGAAGAGGCGAGUGGAAUUCCUGGUGUAGCGGUGAAAUGCGCAGAUAUCAGGAGGAACACCAAUGGCGAAGGCAGCUCGCUGGGACGGUACUGACGCUGAGGUGCGAAAGCGUGGGGAGCAAACAGG